UAAGACGUAGGGGACGAGCGUUGUCCGGAUUCAUUGGGCGUAAAGAGCGCGUAGGCGGCCGUGCAAGUCGGAUGUGAAAAUCCGGGGCUCAACCCCGGACGUGCAUCCGAUACUGCUCGGCUAGAGGUAGGUAGGGGAGAUCGGAAUUCCUGGUGUAGCGGUGAAAUGCGCAGAUAUCAGGAGGAACACCGGUGGCGAAGGCGGAUCUCUGGGCCUUACCUGACGCUCAGGCGCGAAAGCUAGGGGAGCGAACAGGAUUAGAUACCCUGGUAGUCCUAGCCGUAAACGUUGGGUGCUAGGUGUGGGUGGACAUCGACCCCAUCCGUGCCGAAGCUAACGCAUUAAGCACCCCGCCUGGGGAGUACGGCCGCAAGGCUA
rnacentral:rRNA from 1 species